UGGGGAAUAUUGGACAAUGGGCGCAAGCCUGAUCCAGCCAUGCCGCGUGAGUGAUGAAGGCCCUAGGGUUGUAAAGCUCUUUCACCGGUGAAGAUAAUGACGGUAACCGGAGAAGAAGCCCCGGCUAACUUCGUGCCAGCAGCCGCGGUAAUACGAAGGGGGCUAGCGUUGUUCGGAUUUACUGGGCGUAAAGCGCACGUAGGCGGACUUUUAAGUCAGGGGUGAAAUCCCGGGGCUCAACCCCGGAACUGCCUUUGAUACUGGAAGUCUUGAGUAUGGUAGAGGUGAGUGGAAUUCCGAGUGUAGAAGUGAAAUUCGUAGAUAUACGGAGGAACACCAGUAGCGAAGGCGGCUCACUGGACCAUUACUGACGCUGAGGUGCGAAAGCGUGGGGAGCAAACAGG
rnacentral:rRNA from 1 species